ensembl:lincRNA
CUUUGAUGAGGUCAGUCAAUUAGUCAGUUCAGUCACUCAGUAGUGUGCGACUCUUUGUAACCCCAGGAAUCGCAGCACACCAGGCUUCCCUGUCCAUCAUCAACUCCCGGAGUUCACUCAGACUCAAGUCCAUCGAGUCCGUGUUGCCAUCCAGCCAUCUCAUCCUCUGUCCUCUUCUCCUCCUGCCCCCAAUCCCUCCCAGCAUCAGAGUCCUUUCCAAUCAAUCAACUCUUCACAUGAGGUGGCCAAAGUACUGGACUUUCAGCUUUAGCAUCAUUCCUUCCAAAGAACACCCAGGGCUGAUCUCCUUCAGAAUGGACUGGUUGGAUCUCCUUGCAGUCCAAAGGACUCGCAAGAGCCUUCUCCAAAACCACAGUUCAAAAGCAUCAGUUCUUCGGUGCUCAGCUUUCCUCACAGUCCAACUCUCACAUCCAUACAUGACCACAGGAAAAACCAUACCUUGACUAGAUGGAUACUGCUUCCCACGCUGGCCCCCUUCCCACAAGGCUCCCUUCACACUUAGGUUAAUCUCUAGUUCAGUCCUCGUGACAACUGACCUGACUUUUCCACUGUCUCCAACAAGCUGUGAAUUCCCUGAGGUCAAAGGCUGUGCCCUCACCCGUCAGCCAGUGCCUAGGACGUGACAGGCACUCAAAAAACAUUGUGACCGAACCAAACCACUAGAGUUGUCUGACGAUGGAAUGGCUGCCACAGGAAGUGGUCGGCUCCUCUUUGUUGACAGCAGCCAGGCCAAGACACUGUAAAACACCGUUCAAGGGAGUCCUUCCUAGAGUAGGCUGCUACUGCUGCUAAGUCACAUCAGUCGUGUCCGCCUCCUAGCGACCCCAUGGACUGUAGCCCACCAGGCUCCUCCAUCCAUGGGAUUCUCCAGGUAAGAGUACUGGAGUGGGUCACCAGUGCCUUCUCCCCUAGAGUAGGCAGGCCACCUCUAUAUCAGCUUGCUAGAACUACUGUAACAAAGUGCCACAGCCCGGAAGAUUUAAACAAUAGAAAUGUAUUUUCUCACAGUUCUGGAGGCCAGAAGUCCAAGACCAAGGUGUGGGCAGCUCUGGUUUCCCCUGAGGCAUCUCCCCUUGGCCUACAGGUGGCUUCUGCUCUCUGUGUUGUGUCUUCACAUGGCCUUUCCUCUGUAUCUGUCUGGGUCCUAACUUCCUCUUCUUUUAAGAACACCAGUCAUAUUGGAUUAGGGCCCACCCAUAUGGUCUCAUUGCACCUUAACUCUUCAAAGGUCAGUUCUCCAAAUACAGUCAUAUCUCAAGGCUGUGAGCACAGGUAGCUAGGUCUUGAAGGGUGAGUGGGAGUCAAAACAUACCUAUUCUGUUGUGAACUUGAGUUUUAUACCGUAGCAUAUCUCAGUAUUGAUGUGACCAAAAAAGCAAUCAUUAUUUAACCUUUAUUUCAACCAAGUAAAAGUUGAUUAAGCAAUAUGAAAUCUUGUUACCUGAUACUUGGUGCUUUCACGUAUAAAAUAAAAACUUUUUCUCCAUCUUCAAGUUAAAGGGUUAGCGUGUCAGGAAUUAAUUAAGCCCUGUAGUCAUAGGAGAUUAAAAAAAUACGUAGUCAUAUGAGAUAUGAAAAGUGGACCUGAAAUAAGGACAAGGGAAGGACAUUGCAGAAAUGAGGAUGUGUGAGCCUCUAGUAGAAUGUGUAAGGCAAUAAAAAAAAGAUGAACAAAUAAAGGUAAAGAAGUAAUGAUUUAUAUUAUCAGGAAAAUGAUAGAAGAAGGUAAAAGACCCAUUUACUAAAAAUAAGUGGGAUUAGAGUUAGAUAGUAGGCUAAAUUCCUCACCUCAAAAUUGAGAAAUGAGGAGAAAUGGUCAAGUUAAAAAGAUAUACCUCUGUUGGCAUGCCAUGGAGGCCUAUCCAAGCUGUGAACAG